GGACUAAAGUUCGUACUUGGACAGCUUGCCGCAGCUCUCAGCAGCUGACAUGAGGUUAUGUGAGAGGCCGAUAACAGCCGCUGAAAUUUGGGAGGUGAUGAGCGAUUGCACAAGUCGCGGAUCGCCCGAUUUUGAUGAUCUUCGCUACUAAUUCUAUGCCAGUUUUAUUUG